CAACCUUGCCAUUGGGCCGCUGCUGCGCC
rnacentral:sRNA from 1 species